rnacentral:rRNA from 1 species
AUUGAACGCUGGCGGCAGGCCUAACACAUGCAAGUCGAACGGAAAAAGGGAGCUUUUUCCUGGUUUUCGCGUGGGACGCGGGUGUGUUACCUAUGAAUAUGCUUCGGUUUGGUGGAGGACGACCGCAAACGGGUGCGGAUACUACAUACGUCUAGCGCCAGAAGCAGGGGGAGGGUUGGACAGCUUCCUAUCAUAUGAGCCUAGGUGGGAUUAGCUAGUUGGUGGGGUAGGGGCCUACCUAGCCGACGAUCCGUAACUGGACUGAGAGGAUGAUCAGUCACACUGGAACUGAGACACGGUCCAGGCUCCUACGGGAGGCAGCAGUGGGGAAUGUUGGACAAUGGGCGGAAGCCUGAUCCAGCGAGGCCGCGUGUGUGAAGAAGGCCUUCGGAUUGUAAAGAACUUUUAGUGGGGAGGAAGCGCAUUAAGUUAAUACCUUGCGUGAUUGACGUUACCGGCAGAAGAAGCACCGGCUAACUACGUG